rnacentral:rRNA from 1 species
CCUACGGGAGGCAGCAGUGAGGAAUAUUGGUCAAUGGACGAGAGUCUGAACCAGCCAAGUAGCGUGAAGGAUGACUGCCCUAUGGGUUGUAAACUUCUUUUAUAUGGGAAUAAAGUGUUCCACGUGUGGGAUUUUGUAUGUACCAUAUGAAUAAGGAUCGGCUAACUCCGUGCCAGCAGCCGCGGUAAUACGGAGGAUACGAGCGUUAUCCGGAUUUAUUGGGUUUAAAGGGCACGUAGGGGGGUUGUUAAGUCAGUUGUGAAAGGUUGCGGCGCAACCGGAAAAUUGCAGUUGAAAAUGGCAGGCUUGAGUACAGUAGAGGUGGGCGGAAGUCGUGGUGUAGCGGUGAAAUGCUUAGAUAUCGCGAAGAACUCCGAUUGCGAAGGCAGCUCACUGGACUGCAACUGACACUGAGGCACGAAAGUGUGGGGAUCAAACAGGAUUAGAUACCCUUGUAGUC